rnacentral:rRNA from 1 species
AUACGGAGGGUGCGAGCGUUAAUCGGAAUUACUGGGCGUAAAGCGUACGUAGGCGGUUGGUUAAGUUAGAUGUGAAAGCCCCGGGCUUAACCUGGGAACUGCAUUUAAAACUGGCGAACUAGAGUUGAGUAGAGGGGAGUGGAAUUUCAGGUGUAGCGGUGAAAUGCGUAGAGAUCUGAAGGAACACCAGUGACGAAGGCGACUCCCUGGACUCGAACUGACGCUGAGGUACGAAAGCGUGGGUAGCAAACGGGAUUAGAAACCCUAGUAGUCC